GGUAAAACAACAAGGAGAGUUCGCGCUGUGCACUCAGACUGGCGCGCGCUCUCUCUCCAAGACUCCCUCCUUUUCUCCCUCUCUUUCUCUAUCGGCAUUGCCUUCCUUCCGAAGGGAUCGUCCUCGUGCAUGCGGCUUGUGUUGUCGUUUCAGUCACUCUUGCCUUGAUGGCAAUCGUAUAAAAGAAACAGAGUAAUGGGAGAGGAUGCAGGGUACCCUAAGAUUCAGGCGGAGAGCCCGUGGAAUGCGACGAACAUUUCCGGCAUCGACGACCCCUUGGGUGGGUUCCCUGGGUUUGCGAAUACGAGGAACCCAAUGUCGGAUAUCUAGCAUCAGACGGAGGCCUCUGAAGAUCGUCUGAUCCGCAGCUUUGAACCUUCUAUCGCAUCACAUGAAUCCCUUCGCAGCCUGCUCGCCUACCUGGCAGCCAUCGGACGAUGGGCACAGAUCUGCUAGUUGCUGUUGGAAACUCGGAUGUGUCCUCGUGGAAAAGAAAUCAGACGUGUGUCAGAUUUGUGCAUGGAAAGGAGUUCAGUUAUGGGUCUGAUCAUGUGUCUUGUAAAAGAUCACAUGCUCUUGACAGCUUCUUGAAUGGGCACCUUCCUCAAAAGUCUGGACACGAGCCUUCACCCUUUUUCUCAAGGGAGGACUUGACGCAACGGCUGCUUUCAUGCCCUGUCUAGCUUUUUCAGCGAUGUAGAUUCGCUUUGAAGAGGGCAGCGGGUCUUCUCGGACUUGAUUGAACACUACACACUGAUUGAACACUACAAACUAAAAAGAAAGAAGAAAAUUUUAUAUGGUAGUCAUCAACUUCAGCCAGGGAUUCACCUCUGGUCCCUCUCAAUCUCCUCCACGAAACUGCUUGCCCUAGACAUAUA